rnacentral:tRNA from 1 species
GCCUGGGUGGCUCAGUCGGUUGAGCAUCUGACUUCGGCUCAGGUCAUGAUCUCACAGCUUGUGAGCUCGAGUCCCGCGUUGGGCU